rnacentral:rRNA from 1 species
GACGAACGCUGGCGGCGUGCUUAACACAUGCAAGUCGAACGGAAAGGCCCUGCUUUUGUGGGGUGCUCGAGUGGCGAACGGGUGAGUAACACGUGAGUAACCUGCCCUUGACUUUGGGAUAACUUCAGGAAACUGGGGCUAAUACCGGAUAGGAGCUCCCGCUGCAUGGUGGGGGUUGGAAAGUUUCGGCGGUUGGGGAUGGACGCGCGGCUUAUCAGCUUGUUGGGGGGGUAGUGGCUUACCAAGGCCUUGACGGGUAGCCGGCCUGGGAGGGUGACCGGCCACAUUGGGACUGAGAUACGGCCCAGACUCCUACGGGAGGCAGCAGUGGGGAAUAUUGCACAAUGGGCGGAAGCCUGAUGCAGCAACGCCGCGUGCGGGAUGACGGCCUUCGGGUUGGAAACCGCUUUCGCCUGUGACGAAGCGUGAGUGACGGUAAUGGGUAAAGAAGCACCGGCUAACUACGUG